CGGGAGGACCUGCCCCAUAGUCUGGGAUACCACUUGGAAACAGGUGCUAAUACCGGAUAAGAAAGCAGAUCGCAUGAUCAGCUUUUAAAAGGCGGCGUAAGCUGUCGCUAUGGGAUGGCCCCGCGGUGCAUUAGCUAGUUGGUAAGGUAAAGGCUUACCAAGGCGAUGAUGCAUAGCCGAGUUGAGAGACUGAUCGGCCACAUUGGGACUGAGACACGGCCCAAACUCCUACGGGAGGCAGCAGAG
rnacentral:rRNA from 1 species